rnacentral:rRNA from 1 species
UUCCGGUUAAUCCCGCCGGAGGUCACUGCUAUNGGGGUUCGACUAAGCCAUGCGAGUCAAUAGUUUUUCGUGAAUCUAGCCGGACGGCUCAGUAACACGUGGGUAAUCUACCCUCAGGACAGGGAUAACCCCGGGAAACUGGGGAUAAUACCUGAUAGUUGGAGAGGUCUGGAAUGAUCCUCCGCCCAAAGUCCGGCGCCUGAGGAUGAGCCUUCGGCCGAUUAAGUUUUGCCGUUGUAACGGACCACCAACCCUGAAAUUCGUACGGCCAUUAAGAGUUGGAGCCCGGAGAUGGGGGCUGAGAAACGGCCCCAGGCCUACGGGGCGCAGCAGGCGCGAAAACUCCACAAUACGCGAAAGCGUGACGGGGGGACCCCAAGUNUCAUGCCUUCGGGUAUGACUUUGCAGACUGUAAACA